UUUUAUGGAGAGUUUGAUCCUGGCUCAGGAUGAACGCUGGCGGCGUGCCUAAUACAUGCAAGUCGAGCGAACGGACGAGAAGCUUGCUUCUCUGAUGUUAGCGGCGGACGGGUGAGUAACACGUGGAUAACCUACCUAUAAGACUGGGAUAACUUCGGGAAACCGGAGCUAAUACCGGAUAAUAUUUUGAACCGCAUGGUUCAAAAGUGAAAGACGGUCUUGCUGUCACUUAUAGAUGGAUCCGCGCUGCAUUAGCUAGUUGGUAAGGUAACGGCUUACCAAGGCAACGAUGCAUAGCCGACCUGAGAGGGUGAUCGGCCACACUGGAACUGAGACACGGUCCAGACUCCUACGGGAGGCAGCAGUAGGGAAUCUUCCGCAAUGGGCGAAAGCCUGACGGAGCAACGCCGCGUGAGUGAUGAAGGUCUUCGGAU
rnacentral:rRNA from 2 species